UACGGAGGGGGCGAGCGUUGUUCGGAAUCACUGGGUGUAAAGGGUGCGUAGGCGGUGCGUUAAGUCUGAUGUGAAAGCCCUGGGCUCAACUCAGGAAUUGCAUUGGAAACUGGCGUGCUGGAGUACGGGAGAGGGAAGCGGAAUUCCUGGUGUAGCGGUGAAAUGCGUAGAUACCAGGAGGAACACCGGUGGCGAAGGCGGUUUCCUGGCCCAGUACUGACGCUGAGGCACGAAAGCGUGGGGAGCGAGCGGG
rnacentral:rRNA from 1 species